rnacentral:rRNA from 1 species
UACGGGGGGGGCAAGCGUUGUUCGGAAUUACUGGGCGUAAAGGGCUCGUAGGCGGCCAACUAAGUCCGACGUGAAAUCCCCGGGCUUAACCUGGGAACUGCAUUUGUGACUGCAUCGCUGGAGUGCGGCAGAGGGGGAUGGAAUUCCGCGUGUAGCAGUGAAAUGCGUAGAUAUGCGGAGGAACACCGAUGGCGAAGGCAAUCCCCUGGGCCUGCACUGACGCUCAUGCACGAAAGCGUGGGGAGCAAACAGG